UACGGGGGGGGCAAGCGUUGUUCGGAAUUACUGGGCGUAAAGGGCUCGUAGGUGGCCAACUAAGUCAGACGUGAAAUCCCUCGGCUUAACCGGGAACUGCGUCUGAUACUGGAUGGCUUGAGUUCGGGAGAGGGAUGCGGAAUUCCAGGUGUAGCGGUGAAAUGCGUAGAUAUCUGGAGGAACACCGGUGGCGAAGGCGGCAUCCUGGACCGAUACUGACACUGAGGAGCGAAAGCCAGGGGAGCAAACGGG
rnacentral:rRNA from 1 species